rfam:Stegodyphus mimosarum contig27636, whole genome shotgun sequence.
ACCGGGAACUGUGGCGCGUUCCUGUAAUCCAGCUGCUUUGGAGGUCGAGGUUGUUGGACGGCUUGAGGUUGGGAGUUCUGUCCUCCAGGCGCUUAUGUUGAUUCGGCGUCCGCGUUACGAACCCUGUCGAUAUGGUAGAACUGGGGGAGCCCGGAUCUACCAGGUCGUCUAACGAGGAGCGAACAGGCUAAGGGCGGAAACGCAGCAGGCAAAAGUUCCCGCAGGCUUCGGUAGUGGGAUAGCGCUGAUGAAUAGGUGCCAGUGGAUAGCCCAUCCAAGACGGUCGGACUCGGCCUUUU